CAGCAGCCGCGGUAAUACAGAGGGUGCAAGCGUUAAUCGGAAUUACUGGGCGUAAAGUGCGCGUAGGUGGUUUGUUAAGUUGGAUGUGAAAUCCCCGGGCUCAACCUGGGAACUGCAUCCAAAACUGGCAAGCUAGAGUAUGGUAGAGGGUGGUGGAAUUUCCUGUGUAGCGGUGAAAUGCGUAGAUAUAGGAAGGAACACCAGUGGCGAAGGCGACCACCUGGACUGAUACUGACACUGAGGUGCGAAAGCGUGGGGAGCAAACAGGAUUAGAUACCCCGGUAGUCCCUGUCUCUUAUAC
rnacentral:rRNA from 1 species